rnacentral:misc_RNA from 1 species
GAUGAAGAACGUAGCGAAAUGCGAUAAGUAAUGUGAAUUGCAGAAUUCAGUGAAUCAUCGAAUCUUUGAACGCACAUUGCGCCCGCCAGUAUUCUGGCGGGCAUGCCUGUUCGAGCGUCAUUACAACCCUCAGGCCCCCGGGCCUGGCGUUGGGGAUCGGCGGAGCCCCCCGUGGGCACACGCCGUCCCCCAAAUACAGUGGCGGUCCCGCCGCAGCUUCCAUCGCGUAGUAGCUAACACCUCGCGACUGGAGAGCGGCGCGGCCACGCCGUAAAACACCCAACUCUUCUUAAGUUGACCUCGAAUCAGGUAGGAAUACCCGCUGAACUUAAGCAUAUCAAUAAGCGGAGGA